CUUGGAGAAGAGAAGGCUGUGGGGAGACCUCACUGUGGCCUUCCAGUUCUUGAAGAGUGCGUAUAAACAGGAGGGGGAAUAGCUGUUUACGAGGGUGGAUGGUGAUAGGACAAGGGGGAAUGGUUUUAAACUGAGACAGGGGAGGCUUAGGUUGGAUAUGAGGAGGAAGUUUUUCACCCAGAGGGUGGUGACACACUGAACAGGUUGCCCAAGGAGGCUGUGGAUGCCCCAUCCCUGGAGGCAUUCAAGGCCAGGCUGGAUGUGGCUCUGGGCAGCCUGGUCUGCUGGUUGGCGACCCUGCACAUAGCAGGGGGUUGGAACUGGAUGAGCAUUGUGGUCCUUUGCAACCCAGGCCAUUCUGUGAUUCUAUGAUUACUCCCUCUGCACUUAGCAGAACAAUUUGCAUGUUUUUCUAUAUAUACAACAAGGAUUGUUAGGCAAC
rnacentral:lncRNA from 1 species